rfam:Schistosoma haematobium scaffold892_9, whole genome shotgun sequence.
GCACUGUUGAAGAGUCCCAUAGUAGGACGAAACGGCCUUCCAGUAC